UUGGCGGACGGGUGAGUAACGCGUGAGUAACCUGCCUUUCAGAGGGGGAUAACGUUUUGAAAAGAACGCUAAUACCGCAUGAAAUCAAGGAACUGCAUGGUUUUUUGAUCAAAGGAGCAAUCCGCUGAGAGAUGGACUCGCGUCCGAUUAGCCAGUUGGCGGGGUAACGGCCCACCAAAGCGACGAUCGGUAGCCGGACUGAGAGGUUGAACGGCCACAUUGGGACUGAGACACGGCCCAG
rnacentral:rRNA from 1 species